UGGGGAAUAUUGCACAAUGGAGGGAACUCUGAUGCAGCGACGCCGCGUGAGUGAUGAAGGAAUUCGUUUCGUAAAACUCUGUUCUAUGGGAAGAAAAGGACUGUACCAUAGGAGAAAGUUGCGGCUAAAUAAGUGCCAGCAGCCGCGGUAAUACGUAUGGAGCGAGCGUUGUCCGAAAUUAUGGGGCGUAAAGGGUGCGCAGGCGGCUUUACAAGUUGGAUGUGAAAUAUUGUGGCUCAACCACAAACGUGCAUCCAAAACUGCAAAGCUUGAGUUAAGGAGAGGUAAGUGGAAUUCCUUGUAUAGCGGUACAAUGCAUAGAUAUCAGGAGAAAUACCGGUGGCGAAGGCGACUUACUGGACUUAAACUGACGCUCAGGCACGAAAGCGUGGGGAGCAAACAGG
rnacentral:rRNA from 1 species